rnacentral:rRNA from 1 species
CUGCGGGAAGCUUACCAUGCAAGUCGAGGGGCAGCACGAGGUAGCAAUACUUUGGUGGCGACCGGCGCACGGGUGAGUAACGCGUAUGUAACCUACCCAGUACAGGGGGAUAACCCGGAGAAAUUCGGACUAAUACCCCAUGAUGAUAUCGGGUGGCAUCACUGGAUAUUUAAAACUCAGGUGGUACUGGAUGGGCAUGCGUGACAUUAGCUAGUUGGUAGGGUAACGGCCUACCAAGGCUGCGAUGUCUAGGGGUCCUGAGAGGGUGAUCCCCCACACUGGUACUGAGACACGGACCAGACUCCUACGGGAGGCAGCAGUGAGGAAUAUUGGUCAAUGGGCGCAAGCCUGAACCAGCCAUCCCGCGUGAAGGAAGAAGGCGCUAUGCGUUGUAAACUUCUUUUCCAGGGGGCGAAUAGCUUCUACGAGUAGGGGUAUGACGGUACCCUGGGAAUAAGCAUCGGCUAACUCCGUGCCAGCAGCCGCGGUAAUACGGAGGAUGCGAGCGUUAUCCGGAUUUAUUGGGUUUAAAGGGUGCGUAGGCGGAUUUAUAAGUCAGUGGUGAAAACCUGCAGCUUAACUGUAGAACUGCCAUUGAUACUGUGAGUCUUGAGUAUGGUCAAGGUAGGCGGAAUGUGUAAUGUAGCGGUGAAAUGCUUAGAUAUUACACAGAACACCGAUUGCGAAGGCAGCUUACUGGACCAUUACUGACGCUGAUGCACGAAAGCGUGGGGAGCGAACAGGAUUAGAUACCCUGGUAGUCCACGCCGUAAACGAUGAUCACUCGCUGUUAG